ACGGAAGGCAGCAGUGGGGAAUAUUGGGCAAUGGGCGGAAGCCUGACCCAGCAACGCCGCGUGAGGGAAGAAGGUUUUCGGAUUGUAAACCUCUGUCCUUGAUGAAAAGAAGUAGAUGGUAAUCGAGGAGGAAGCCCCGGCUAACUACGUGCCAGCAGCCGCGGUAAUACGUAGGGGGCGAGCGUUGUCCGGAAUGAUUGGGCGUAAAGGGCGCGUAGGCGGCCUGUUAAGUCUGGAGUGAAAGUCCUGUUUUCAAGAUGGGAAUUGCUUUGGAUACUGAUAGGCUUGAGUGCAGGAGAGGUUAUCGGAAUUCCCGGUGUAGCGGUGAAAUGCGUAGAGAUUGGGAGGAACACCAGUGGCGAAGGCGACUUACUGGGCCGUAACUGACGCUGAGGCGCGAAAGCGUGGGGAGCGAACAGGAUUAGAUACCCUGGUA
rnacentral:rRNA from 1 species